ensembl:lncRNA
CCUGGUUUCACCACUCACCCACAGGUCACCUUGGACCAGUGCCCCAUCUUUGGAAUCAGGAAAAUACUGUCAACCACUCUGGGUUGGUGUGGAGAAUUAAAGGUAUAUGAUCUCCUUAUCACAGAACCUGGCAUACAAAGGAGUAAGACAAUGGGAAGGCGUGUGCGUGCCUGCUUUCCUGACCGGCAUCAGUGUGCAGGAAAGCUGGGGAGGGGUCCAAGGCCCCCGUGAAGCUCGCCUCCCGCUGGAGACCAGGAGCAGCAGCUGCAGGUGAAAGUUGUGAGGGUACCGCCGCUUGAGCUUGGUCGCCUGAGAUCUAGAGGGCAGAAGCCAUCGGAAUGAGCCAAGGAAGAGGAGAACCUCCAGGGAGAGCUUCCAGAUCAUGUUCCAGAGCACCUCGCGGUGGGUCAGUUUACCGCACUUCACAGAUGCUGUGCUUUUCACCACUUGCAGGUUCGAGGCGACCACUGCUGAGCAGAUCUUUCGGUGCCAGUUCUCUAACCCAUUCCCUCACUUCCCGUCUCUGUGUCACACCUGGAUAAUCCUCACCAUGCGUCACACACUUUCACUGUUGUUAUACUUGUAUGGUGAUUGGUGACCAGUGAUUCUUUGAUGUGACUAUUGCAAAAGAUUAGGACUGGCUGAAGGCUCAGAGGACGGUUAGCAUGUUUUAACCAUAAAGUAUUUUUCAUUUUUUUAGAAAUAAUGCUGUUGUGCCCUUCAUACACUAUGGUAUAGUGUAAGUACAACUUUUAUAUUCAUGCAAAAAAAAA